rnacentral:tRNA from 2 species
GAGAACCUAGUAAACAUAAUUACAUAGCCUUGUCGUGGCUAAAUCACAACCUCUGUGGUUCUCA